UCAACUUUUAUGACAUAUUUCAGUGCCAUAUGUAAUAUACACAUUAAAUGAAGUGGCAAAUUUAAUGUUUUAUAUACAUAUGAUCAUUACAUAAUACACACUUGGUAUAUAUGACAUUCAAAUGAAGUGCAUAUCUUUAAUAAGUAAAACAUCAAUAUGAAUCAUAUACAUGUAUUGUACUUACUAGUAUUAAAUAUACAACAUUCAAAUGAAGGGAAUGUAUUUAAUGUCGUGGUGGUGGUGGAAUUGGGUUUAACGUCGUGCUUGAGAA